AGAGUUUGAUUCUGGCUCAGGACGAACGCUGGCGGCGUGCCUAACACAUGCAAGUCGAACGGGGGAUGCGUAGCUUGCUAUGCAAACCUAGUGGCGGACUGGUGAGUAACGCGUGAGCAAUCUGCCGCAGAGAGUGGGAUAACACAUGGAAACGUGUGCUAAUACCACAUAAUGUAUAACCGUGGCAUCGCGGAUAUACCAAAGGAGCAAUCCGCUCUGUGAUGAGCUCGCGUCUGAUUAGGUAGUUGGUGAGGUAACGGCUCACCAAGCCUACGAUCAGUAGCCGAACUGAGAGGUUGAUCGGCCACAUUGGGACUGAGAUACGGCCCAG
rnacentral:rRNA from 1 species